AAUUGGCGAGAUUCGGGAAAUCUCGGGAAUGGAAAACUGCGAGAACUUUGGUUAUUGACACGAGGUUUAAAGAGAGUUGGUAGCACUGAGCAGAGGCGAGGAAAAGAGAGUGGGGAUAUGUCAGGGUAUGCGAAAUUACGGAGAGGGGAAGGGGCGGGAGAGGAGGAGGAUGGUCUUUGGGGAGGGCGUUGCGCGAGAUUACGUUUUGCAGGCCGUGCAGUUUCUUCGGUUUCCGUGGGCUUGAUAAAUGCUCGAGGAGAAAAAACGAAACCUUUACGGAAUCUUUAAUUUUUCACAGGCGAAGGAGAGGUUUCUUCGAAUAACACACUUUGGUCUAAGUUAUGCGCAGGCAGGAGAGUGGUGUGAAAAUGAGAAAAAUAGUCGAGAUCCUUGUAAAUUUCUCUAACGACCUAACCUAACAUCGAUUUAACCAAACAUUGGUAUCCUCCGCUAAUUUCUUGGAUAAAGGAGAAGUUACAACGACUUUUGCUACGAUCUCUGGUGAGAAGGCCAUUGUAUCUUAUGUAGGGAGGGGGAAGGAAGGGCGAUCGUGGUCGACAUAGAAUAGAAAAAUUCGAGAUAAAGAGAGGCGUGGAAGGACAGAGUGGAGAGGACAUGGAAAAUAAUGGAACGGAAGGUGGUUACGGGCCAAUCGAAACAACAAUUUACCAGCGGAUACUUUUAUCUGUAAUGGCAGCAGGCAGGAAGUUUCGAUAAAACGAAACCGAAAACGAAUUCGAAUACGAAUCGCCUCUCCUUUGUUCCUCCUUUGUUCUUUCUUAAACAAAAUGCCAAAACAUGAUUUCUCGGAACAAUAAUAAUCGAAAAUAAAAUAAAUAAGAGAAUUUGUGUUUACGAAUUUUGCAGAUAAUAUUUUCAAAGUCACGUAACGCUUGUAAGCUGAAACUUUUAUGCCAAGAAAAUCCCCACAAACGCUCAAUAGGAUCUCGGAUUUCACAACUCGAGCUCAAAAGUAAACAUCACGUAGAAUCCAACAAGGUCAACCUUGACCUGAUCGAAGUCGAAUGUAAUAAAAAAUUACUUAUUCAAAUAAAUAAAACC